GUGGGGAAUAUUGGACAAUGGGCGCAAGCCUGAUCCAGCCAUACCGCGUGGGUGAAGAAGGCCUUCGGGUUGUAAAGCCCUUUUGUUGGGAAAGAAAUCCUGUCGGUUAAUACCUGGCGGGGAUGACGGUACCCAAAGAAUAAGCACCGGCUAACUUCGUGCCAGCAGCCGCGGUAAUACGAAGGGUGCAAGCGUUACUCGGAAUUACUGGGCGUAAAGCGUGCGUAGGUGGUGGUUUAAGUCCGUUGUGAAAGCCCUGGGCUCAACCUGGGAAUUGCAGUGGAUACUGGAUCACUAGAGUGUGGUAGAGGGAUGCGGAAUUUCUGGUGUAGCAGUGAAAUGCGUAGAGAUCAGAAGGAACAUCCGUGGCGAAGGCGGCAUCCUGGGCCAACACUGACACUUAGGCACGAAAGCGUGGGGAGCAAACAGGAUUAGAAACCCUUGUAGUCC
rnacentral:rRNA from 1 species